UACGGAGGGAGCUAGCGUUGUUCGGAAUUACUGGGCGUAAAGCGCGCGUAGGCGGCUUUGUAAGUUAGAGGUGAAAGCCCGGGGCUCAACCCCGGAAUUGCCUUUAAGACUGCAUCGCUUGAAUCCGGGAGAGGCGAGUGGAAUUCCGAGUGUAGAGGUGAAAUUCGUAGAUAUUCGGAAGAACACCAGUGGCGAAGGCGGCUCACUGGACCGGCAUUGACGCUGAGGUGCGAAAGCGUGGGGAGCAAACAGG
rnacentral:rRNA from 1 species